AACAUCGCGCACCUGCGGGAACCUGCGGAGGGAUCAUUACAGAGUUGCAAAACUCCCUAAACCAUUGUGAACGUUACCUAAACCGUUGCUUCGGCGGGCGGCCCGGGUCCUUCCCGGCGCCCCUCGGCCCUCGCGGGCGCCCGCCGGAGGUAAACCAAACUAUUGCAUUGUAUGGCCUCUCUGAGUCUUCUGUACUGGAUAAGUCAAAACUUUCAACAAUGGAUCUCAGAUCGGAAGAGC
rnacentral:misc_RNA from 1 species